GGAGGAGGAGGGGGAGGACGGAAAACGUUUGAGUAGACGGAAUUUGUGGCUCGAAUCGUAGCGAAAUUACGGUGUAAGCGGUAAAUUAUCGAACUCAGCGGUUCAGCGCCCGCGGUUGACCGCCAAUCUCGCUCCGCUUCUCGAUCGUGUUCGAGAUUCGUGUCGUGAACCCGACUUAUUUCACCGCAAAUCGAAUUUAAUUCCUCCAUUCCCCUAUAUUUAACCUCCCCUCCCCUCGAUGGGAUUUCAUUUCACGUUCGAUCCUCGACGUGAAAUGCGCGGCUUUCGAUCGCGAAAAAUAGAAACGCACGCAACGGUCGGCAGAGGUGUGGUGGUUAUACGCGUCUUGGCCGCUCGUAAAAGGCGAAAUAUUAGCUUUUCGAUGGAGAGAGGGCCGUAAAAUUGAGGCUAGGACCCUCUCUCCGUGGUGGAGAAACAACCGUGGAACAGGAUCAACCUGUCACCUUGCACGGCAUGUCGAAGUCAGGUCUUCUCUCCCCCCUCUCGUUUUUUCUUUAUUUAUCUUUUCUCUUUCUCGGCUUCGUUAAACCGACUCGCGUCCGAGAGGCGACUCACGCGUCG